UCUAGCAGUGAUGAUGCUCUUGCCCUCACUGAAGUUCUCUGAUGAGAACUUUUUGUAAGUACUCAUUUGCUCUGAGCUGGA
ensembl:snoRNA